rnacentral:rRNA from 1 species
GCAAGUCGAACGCGAAUCGGUAGCUUGCUACCGAGGAAAGUGGCGGACGGGUGAGUAAUAUGUAGAGAAUCUGCCCUAGAGAGGGGGACAACAGCUGGAAACGGUUGCUAAUACCCCAUAUGAGCGUACCUGAAAUGGUAUUCUUGAAAACUCCGGUGCUCUAGGAUGAGUCUGCAUCUGAUUAGCUAGUUGGGGGUGUAAUGGACCACCAAGGCGACGAUCAGUAGCUGGUUUGAGAGGAUGAUCAGCCACAAUGGGACUGAGACACGGCCCAUACUCCUACGGGAGGCAGCAGUAGGGAAUUUUGCGCAAUGGGCGAAAGCCUGACGCAGCAACGCCGCGUGAUUGAUAAAGCCCUUCGGGGUGUAAAGAUCUGUCAGUGGGGACGAAACUUGACGGUACCCACAGAGGAAGCACCGGCUAACUCCGUGCCAGCAGCCGCGGUAAUACGGAGGGUGCAAGCGUUGUCCGGAAUCAUUGGGCGUAAAGAGUUCGUAGGUGGUUUGUUAAGUUUGGUGUUAAAUGCAGAGGCUCAACUUCUGUUCGGCAUCGGAUACUGGCAGACUAGAAUGCGG